rnacentral:rRNA from 1 species
CUUUAUUGGAGAGUUUGAUCCUGGCUCAGGAUGAACGCUGGCGGCGUGCCUAAUACAUGCAAGUCGAGCGAAUGGAUUGAGAGCUUGCUCUCAAGAAGUUAGCGGCGGACGGGUGAGUAACACGUGGGUAACCUGCCUAUAAGACUGGGAUAACUCCGGGAAACCGGGGCUAAUACCGGAUAACAUUUUGAACUGCAUGGUUCGAAAUUGAAAGGCGGCUUCGGCUGUCACUUAUGGAUGGACCCGCGUCGCAUUAGCUAGUUGGUGAGGUAACGGCUCACCAAGGCAACGAUGCGUAGC